rnacentral:tRNA from 1 species
GGGGUUGUGGCUCAAUGGUAGAGCGCUUGCCUAGCAUGUGUGAGGCCCUGAGUUCAAUCCUCAACACCACA